GAUGAACGCUGGCGGCGUGCUUAACACAUGCAAGUCGAACGGUGAAGGCGGAGCUUGCUCUGCUGGAUCAGUGGCGAACGGGUGAGUAACACGUGAGCAAUCUGCCCCUGACUCUGGGAUAAGCGCUGGAAACGGCGUCUAAUACUGGAUACGAGCUGCGAAGGCAUCUUCAGCAGCUGGAAAGAACUUCGGUCAGGGAUGAGCUCGCGGCCUAUCAGCUUGUUGGUGAGGUAACGGCUCACCAAGGCGUCGACGGGUAGCCGGCCUGAGAGGGUGACCGGCCACACUGGGACGGAGACACGGCCCAGACUCCUACGGGAGGCAGCAGUGGGGAAUAUUGCACAAUGGGCGAAAGCCUGAUGCAGCAACGCCGCGUGAGGGACGACGGCCUUCGGGUUGUAAACCUCUUUUAGCAGGGAAGAAGCGAAAGUGACGGUACCUGCAGAAAAAGCGCCGGCUAACUACGUG
rnacentral:rRNA from 1 species